rnacentral:rRNA from 1 species
UAGGGAAUCUUCGGCAAUGGACGAAAGUCUGACCGAGCAACGCCGCGUGAGUGAAGAAGGUUUUCGGAUCGUAAAACUCUGUUGUUAGAGAAGAACAAGGACGUUAGUAACUGAACGUCCCCUGACGGUAUCUAACCAGAAAGCCACGGCUAACUACGUGCCAGCAGCCGCGGUAAUACGUAGGUGGCAAGCGUUGUCCGGAUUUAUUGGGCGUAAAGCGAGCGCAGGCGGUUUCUUAAGUCUGAUGUGAAAGCCCCCGGCUCAACCGAGGAGGGUAAUAGGAAACUGGGGGUCUUGAGUGAAGAAGAGGAGGGUGGAAUUCCAUGUGUGGCGGUGAAAUGCAUAGGUAUAUGAAGGAACACCAGUGGCGAAGGCGGCUCUCUGGUCUGUAACUGACGCUGAGGCUCGAAAGCGUGGGGAGCAAACAGG